UACGUAGGGUGCGAGCGUUGUCCGGAAUUAUUGGGCGUAAAGAGCUCGUAGGCGGCCUGUCGCGUCGGAUGUGAAAGCCCGGGGCUUAACCCCGGGUCUGCAUUCGAUACGGGCAGGCGUAGGAGUGUGGUGAGGGGAGAUCGGUGAAUUCCUGGUGUAGCGGUGAAAUGCGCAGAUAUCAGGAGGAACACCGAUGGCGAAGGCAGGUCUCUGGGCCACUACUGACGCUGAGAAGCGAAAGCAUGGGGAGCGAACAGG
rnacentral:rRNA from 1 species